UACGUAGGGCGCAAGCGUUGUCCGGAAUUAUUGGGCGUAAAGAGCUCGUAGGCGGCUUGGUACGUCUGCUGUGAAAUCCCGGGGCUUAACCCCGGGCGUGCAGUGGAUACGGGCAGGCUGGAGGCAGGCAGGGGAGAACGGAAUUCCCGGUGUAGCGGUGAAAUGCGCAGAUAUCGGGAGGAACACCGGUGGCGAAGGCGGUUCUCUGGGCCUGUACUGACGCUGAGGAGCGAAAGCGUGGGGAGCAAACAGG
rnacentral:rRNA from 1 species